CACUUCUGUGGUGAUCACUCCUAAGCGAGCGCGUUCAUACACCGCACGCACGCGCGCGGUGGCACCACCCCCCACUCUAUUCUAGUUUUCUCUUUGAGCGCCUCGAGGGCCACGAGCGGGGCAUCUGCCACCCACGCAGAACUGCAGAACCGCCUUCCCUUGCCACCUCACGGAGCUGGCGCAUCAGGCGGGGUGCCCUCCGGCUCUCCCUCUCCCUCUCCUUCAUCAUAGUAAUUUUCAACUCGCCACCACCACUGUCACGAGACAUGGCGGCGACGCGCACGGUGGAUUUGUACGGCGGCGCUAUGCGCAUCAGUCUCCCUCAGACGAUGAUCGACGUCUCCGACUUCCGCCAAGUGCCGGAUAACCAGGAGGUGUACACGGACGCGGACACGGGUGCCUCCGUCAUCGUGGAACUGCUCAGACGGCAGACACACGUCUGCAACUUCGAGGCCGGCGCCUUCUUUUAUCACGACCUCGCGAAGGACAACGGAUGCGCGCCGGAUAGUAUCUCUCAGGAGGAAACCUGCACGCUCCCACCGUCGGCGUUCCCGCUCCUGGCCACAUCGGCUGCGCCAGCUGCGCCCGCCGAGUGUGGGCCGGUGGCACCGCAGUCGUGCGAUUUUGCGUGCCUCACGACAGGGCUGCAGCGUAUAUCCAAGUACACGAAUGAGAAAGGGAAGGAGAAUGAGGUCUUCGUUGGGCUGGCGGUGCUGCGAUUCACGCCGCCUGUAUCGACGGAAAUACUGGUUUCGGUGUCUUGCCCGACUUGGCUGCACCCCGAGAGCUCGGAGGCAAGGGUGGUGAAGCGACUACUCACCGAGCAGGAGCGCUUGCAGCUGCUGUACACGGCGGUCGCCUCGCUGGAGGUUGUCGAGUGGGGCCUGUUCGUGCCUGAGGAGGAGUAGCGCAGCCGUAGGCCGGUGGUGCUCUGUAGAGGAGGGCAGAGGGCGCGGCGUUUGUGCGCGCGCGAGUGCUCGUACAAAGACGGAGCGGCACACCAGCGUGCCCAAGGACUUCCGCACUGACAGGAGCUACCCUCCUCCCCCCGCGUGCGCCGUAGGCUCACCGGUCGAGCCGUAAGCCGCAUAUUCUGGCACUUCCCGAUCCCUCUGACUCCGCCACCACACCAAAUGUGCGCACGUCUUCACAUAGGUAUCACAGAGCAUCCAAGGUGCGAGGUGGGCAUCCUCCACUCCGUUGCCUCAUUCCUCGCAUACUCGUAAGCG
rnacentral:misc_RNA from 1 species